UCAUGUCCUCGGAAACCCGCAUUCUAGCCAUGUCAUGCCUAAUCACUUCUUCCCAAUACCUCUUGGGCCUCCCUCUACCUCGCCGAACGCCGACAAUCGCCAGACGCUCACAACUCCUCACCGGGGCAUCAAUACUUCUCCUCCGCACAUGCCCGAACCACCGCAGGUUCAGUACGUUGCUAUAUAACAAUUAGCUAAACUCAAUUCGAUCAACAAAACAAAACACCAAUUUGAAAUCAAGAUCAUUCCAGAAACAGAACUAUUGACGCUAAUAUAACCAAAACAGAAAAAAAAAACCAUGAAAUGAAACUAGUCAAGAGAACCUCCUAUUUGUCACAAUUAUGCAACCAAUACACUUUGCAGAUUAAUUUCAAAACAAGCCUGCAAAUAUAAUACAUGAUAAUCAUGUUUAAAAGGAAAUGAACUACAACCAAGCUUAUGCCUGGGACUAGCCGAGUCUGAAUUCAAACUUAAAUCAUCUUAGACUAUUUUCAUAAAUCCGAAAAAAGAAAUGACAUAUAAAUCAUAUAAAUCAAUUAAUCUAAAUAAACAUCCACUUCGCUUGGUGCUAUAGCCAGCACAAAAAUUCCCAGUAAUCAACUACAGCAUUAGAGUCCUUAAUAUUACAAAUUUCAACUAAAGUACCUUCAAACCUCUAACAUCAGAACUGUUUCAAAACAACCAUCUAAUACUAAAUGCCUAUGUAUGAGAGACCCAAGCUAAUUAGAUUGAAUGUGUGAAUAGAACAUGACAUACAUAGAGACAUCACAGUGUAAAAAAAACUGCAUUCCAUUCAAACAACUUGGUUCAUAAACCUUUACAUGAGACUCAACAAACAAACUCAAAUUCCCACCAUAGUUUCAGAAAAGGUGCCUGGAAAAAGGAAAGAAACAUAAGGGGAGAUGUCACCGGUGACAAUAGUGUGAGGCAGCAGCAGAAAUAACCAACAAAAUCAGCUUCCAACCCCGAAACUACGUUCAGUAAUCUGAAAGAAUAACAAAACAACUUCAAUUGAACGAAAACCCAACAGAUUUCAACUAGACUUUAAACAAAAUUCAAUCCAUCACAUGAUCGGAUGAGUUCAGAUUAUUUCAAAAGUACAAAAAUUACUAAGGAGACCAAUGGAACAAUAGAAUUUCAAGCUGUCUACAUUUCUGUAUUCUUUUCCCUAAUUUUUCUUCUAAGGUCUACCUUGCAAGACAAGAGUAAGAUGCCUUUAUAUGCAACCAAUUAGGGCAACCCUCAAGUUUUCAUUUACCCCUUAGGUCCCUUAUUUAAUGACUUGUUG
rnacentral:lncRNA from 1 species